GACGAACGCUGGCGGCGUGCUUAACACAUGCAAGUCGAACGGAAAGGCCCUGAUUUUGUGGGGUGCACGAGUGGCGAACGGGUGAGUAACACGUGAGUAACCUGCCCUUGAAUUUGGGAUAACUUCAGGAAACUGGGGCUAAUACCGGAUAGGAGCUCCUGCUGCAUGGUGGGGGUUGGAAAGUUUCGGCCGUUGUGGCUAGACUGGCGGGUUAUCAGCUUGUUGGGGGGGUAGUGGUUGACGAAGCCUUUGACGGGUAGGCGGCCUGAGAGGGUGACCGGGCACAUUGGGACUGAGAUAGGCACCAGACGCGUACGGUCGGCAGAAGGGGAGAACUUGGCGCAGCGAGCGCGAGCGUGUUGCAGAAACGUUGCGAUCGGGAUGCUCGGUUUCGGGGUAUGAACCGCUUUCGCCUGAAACAAGGCGUGAUUGACGGUACUGGGUCAAGAAGCACCGGCUAACUACGUG
rnacentral:rRNA from 1 species